rnacentral:rRNA from 1 species
GAUGAACGCUGGCGGCGUGCCUAAUACAUGCAAGUCGUACGGAAAGGCCCUUCGGGGUACUCGAGUGGCGGACGGCUGAGUAACGCGUGGGAACGUGCCCCAAAGUGAGGGAUAACGCACCGAAAGGUGUGCUAAUACCGCAUAUGGUCUUCGGAUUAAAGCUUCGGCGCUUUGGGAGCGGCCCGCGUACGAUUAGAUAGUUGGUGAGGUAAUGGCCCACCAAGUCGACGAUCGUUAGCUGGGCUGAGAGGAUGAUCAGCCAGACUGGGACUGAGACACGGCCCAGACUCCUACGGGAGGCAGCAGUAAGGAAUCUUCCAAAAUGGGGGCAACCCUGAUGGAGCAACGCCGCGUGCAGGAUGAAGGUUUUCGGAUCGUAAACUGCUUUUAUAAGUGAAGAAUAUGACGGUAACUUAUGAAUAAGGAUCGGCUAACUACGUGCCAGCCGCCGCCGUAA